rnacentral:pre_miRNA from 1 species
CAAUGAUGGUGAUGAUGACGACGACGAUGACGUUGAUGACGAUGGUAAUGUUCAUCAUCAUCAUCAUCAACCUCAUCGUCAUCAUCAUCAUCAUCA